CCUGUUUCCCUAGCGCACGCCUCGCCCGGGGCGCUGCCUCGGGCCCGGGGAGGGACAAGCCAUCCACAGACUUCAGGAGCGCUGGCAUUUUCCAAGGAUUUAUUCACGGGGGAAACGGACACACACGAUUUACAGCGUGGGACGGGGUCGGCGCGUGGCCUGCGCAGGCAGCGGCGGCCGCCGGAGCGGCGCCCUGAACAGGCCGGUCAGUCUCCUACGCGGCCACACCGCAGGGUGAGCAGGGCCGUAGCACGCAGCGCGCCUUCCGCUCGGCGUCCCUUCAAAGGAGCCCCUCCGCCGCAGGAAAGCGCCCGGUUGCCAGGGCGGCGCUGGGGGGCUGGGGUCACGUGUGAUCCAGGCGCCGCCGUUGGGGUCCGGUAUGGAGAGGCCGCACCCCCCGACAGAAAUUCAGACGCAGCGGACAGGCGUGCGCACGCAGCCCCUUCUGAGCGCUGGCCCUCUCCUCGGGCACAGCAAUAAUGCAGAGGGGAGGGGAGGAGAACAUCCGCUUUUUAAUGCAAAAAUAAAACAUUCCGUAGUAAGCGAGGAAGGCACCUGAAAUAAGACAGAACACAAGGUAGGGCUUCUGCUGACAUUCCCCCGCCGAGGUGUUACCACAAGGAGGCUGGAACUCUCCCAGCCCCAGGGAGAGGGGGACACCCAAAGAGCAUUCCGUUUCCAAAGUUCUCAGAGGAAGUUACCCGGGAGACCCGCCCGCGACCUGCCUGCCGCCCCUCCCAGAACUACCAGCGCUGACAGCAAAGCGAGUGGCAAGGAACCAGAGGGUUGUGUUCUCAGGUAUUUGUAACGAAGCUGAUGCAGGUGACCGUUGCAACUAAGUAGC